rnacentral:rRNA from 1 species
AGGCAACGAUCAGUAGGGGUUCUGAGAGGAAGGUCCCCCACAUUGGAACUGAGGCACGGUCCAAACUCCUACGGGAGGCAGCAGUGAGGAAUAUUGGUCAAUGGGCGAGAGCCUGAACCAGCCAAGUAGCGUGCAGGAAGACGGCCCUAUGGGUUGUAAACUGCUUUUAUAAGGGAAUAAAGUUAGUCUCGUGAGACUUUUUGCAUGUACCUUAUGAAUAAGGACCGGCUAAUUCCGUGCCAGCAGCCGCGGUAAUACGGAAGGUCCGGGCGUUAUCCGGAUUUAUUGGGUUUAAAGGGAGCGUAGGCCGGAGAUUAAGCGUGUUGUGAAAUGUAGACGCUCAACGUCUGCACUGCAGCGCGAACUGGUUUCCUUGAGUACGCACAAAGUGGGCGGAAUUCGUGGUGUAGCGGUGAAAUGCUUAGAUAUCACGAAGAACUCCGAUUGCGAAGGCAGCUCACUGGAGCGCAACUGACGCUAAAGCUCGAAAGUGCGGGUAUCGAACAGGAUUAGAUACCCUGGUAGUCCGCACGGUAAACGAUGGAUGCCCGCUGUUGGUCUGAACAGGUCAGCGGCCAAGCGAAAGCAUUAAGCAUCCCACCUGGGGAGUACGCCGGCAACGGUGAAACUCAAAGGAAUUGACGGGGGCCCGCACAAGCGGAGGAACAUGUGGUUUAAUUCGAUGAUACGCGAGGAACCUUACCCGGGCUUGAAUUGCAGAGGAAGGAUUUGGAGACAAUGACGCCCUUCGGGGUCUCUGUGAAGGUGCUGCAUGGUUGUCGUCAGCUCGUGCCGUGAGGUGUCGGCUUAAGUGCCAUAACGAGCGCAACCCCUCUCCUUAGUUGCCAUCAGGUUAAGCUGGGCACUCUGGGGACACUGCCACCGUAAGGUGUGAGGAAGGUGGGGAUGACGUCAAAUCAGCACGGCCCUUACGUCCGGGGCUACACACGUGUUACAAUGGCAGGUACAGAGAGACGGUUGUACGUAAGUACGAUCAAAUCCUUAAAGCCUGUCUCAGUUCGGACUGGGGUCUGCAACCCGACCCCACGAAGCUGGAUUCGCUAGUAAUCGCGCAUCAGCCAUGGCGCGGUGAAUACGUUCCCGGGCCUUGUACACACCGCCCGUCAAGCCAUGAAAGCCGGGGGCGCCUAAAGUCCGUGACCGUAAGGAGCGGCCUAGGGCGAAACUGGUAAUUGGGGCUAAGUCGUAACAAGGUA